rnacentral:rRNA from 1 species
CAUGGGCGAAGCCUGAUGCACCCAUGCCGCGUGAAUGAUGAAGGCCUUCGGGUUGUAAAGCUCUUUUAGUUGGGAAGAAAGGGAGUUGUCCUAUAAGAUAAUGUUUUGACCGUACCGUGGGAAUAAGCCCCGGUAAACUUUGGGCCAGCAGGCGGGGAAUCA